UGCAAGUAGAACGGUAACAGUCCUUCGGGAGCUGACGAGUUGCGAACGGGUGCGUAACGCGUAUGCAACCUACCUAUAACUGAGGGAUAGCCCAUAGAAAUGUGGAUUAAUACCUCAUAACAACUAAAGAUGGCAUCAUCUUAAGUUUAAAACUCCGGUGGUUAUAGAUGGGCAUGCGUGACAUUAGCUAGUUGGUGAGGUAACUGCUCACCAAGGCAACGAUGUCUAGGGGGUUCUGAGAGGAUGAUCCCCCACACUGGUACUGAGACACGGACCAGACUCCUACGGGAGGCAGCAGUGAGGAAUAUUGCGCAAUGGAGGAAACUCUGACGCAGCCAUGCCGCGUGCAGGAUGACUGCCCUAUGGGUUGUAAACUGCUUUUAUAUAGGAAGAACUACAGAUACGUGUAUUUGUUUGACGGUACUAUACGAAUAAGGACCGGCUAACUCCGUGCCAGCAGCCGCGGUAAUACGGAGGGUCCAAGCGUUAUCCGGAUUUAUUGGGUUUAAAGGGUCCGUGGGCGGGUCAUUAAGUCAGUGGUGAAAUCCUACAGCUCAACUGUAGAACUGCCAUUGAAACUGGUGACCUUGAAUAUAAUUGAAGUAGGCGGAAUGUGUCAUGUAGCGGUGAAAUGCUUAGAUAUGCCACAGAACACCGAUUGCGAAGGCAGCUUACUAAGUUAUUAUUGACGCUGAGGGACGAAAGCGUGGGUAGCGAACAGGAUUAGAUACCCUGGUAGUCCACGCCGUAAACGAUGUAUACUCGUUGCUAGCGAUACACAGUUAGUGACCAAGCGAAAGUAUUAAGUAUACCACUUGGGGAGUACGAUCG
rnacentral:rRNA from 1 species